UUAGAAAUUUUAACUACGUAGGUACCUAAUCUAUUAUUACCUCACGGCAAAUUAUUUGCGCAAUUAUACAAAAGAACUACUAAUAAGCACAAAUACA